UACGGAGGGAGCUAGCGUUAUUCGGAAUUACUGGGCGUGAAGCGCACGUAGGCGGCUUUGUAAGUAAGAGGUGAAAGCCCAGAGCUCAACUCUGGAAUUGCCUUUUAGACUGCAUCGCUUGAAUCAUGGAGAGGUCAGUGGAAUUCCGAGUGUAGAGGUGAAAUUCGUAGAUAUUCGGAAGAACACCAGUGGCGAAGGCGGCUGACUGGACAUGUAUUGACGCUGAGGUGCGAAAGCGUGGGGAGCAAACAGG
rnacentral:rRNA from 1 species